rnacentral:rRNA from 1 species
GACGAACGCUGGCGGCGUGCUUAACACAUGCAAGUCGAACGGAAAGGCCCUGCUUUUGUGGGGUGCCCGAGUGGCGAACGGGUGAGUAACACGUGAGUAACCUGCCCUUGACUUUGGGAUAACUUCAGGAAACUGGGGCUAAUACCGGAUAGGAGCUCCUGCUGCAUGGUGGGGGUUGGAAAGUUUCGGCGGUUGGGGAUGGACUCGCGGCUUAUCAGCUUGUUGGUGGGGUAGUGGCUUACCAAGGCUUUGACGGGUAGCCGGCCUGAGAGGGUGACCGGCCACAUUGGGACUGAGAUACGGCCCAGACUCCUACGGGAGGCAGCAGUGGGGAAUAUUGCACAAUGGGCGGAAGCCUGAUGCAGCAACGCCGCGUGCGGGAUGACGGCCUUCGGGUUGUAAACCGCUUUCGCCUGUGACGAAGCGUGAGUGACGGUAAUGGGUAAAGAAGCACCGGCUAACUACGUGCCAGCAGCCGCGGUGAUACGUAGGGUGCGAGCGUUGUCCGGAUUUAUUGGGCGUAAAGGGCUCGUAGGUGGUUGAUCGCGUCGGAAGUGUAAUCUUGGGGCUUAACCCUGAGCGUGCUUUCGAUACGGGUUGACUUGAGGAAGGUAGGGGAGAAUGGAAUCCCUGGUGGAGCGGUGGAAUGCGCAGAUAUCAGGAGGAACACCAGUGGCGAAGGCGGUUCUCUGGGCCUUUCCUGACGCUGAGGAGCGAAAGCGUGGGGAGCGAACAGGCUUAGAUACCCUGGUAGUCCACGCUGUAAACGGUGGGUACUAGGUGUGGGGUCCAUUCCACGGGUUCCGUGCCGUAGCUAACGCUUUAAGUACCCCGCCUGGGGAGUACGGCCGCAAGGCUAAAACUCAAAGGAAUUGACGGGCCCCGCACAAGCGGCGGAGCAUGCGGAUUAAUUCGAUGCAACGCGUAGAACCUUACCUGGGUUUGACAUGGAUCGGGAGCGCUCAGAGAUGGGUGUGCCUCUUUUGGGGUCGGUUCACAGGUGGUGCAUGGCUGUCGUCAGCUCGUGUCGUGAGAUGUUGGGUUAAGUCCCGCAACGAGCGCAACCCUUGUUCACUGUUGCCAGCACGUUAUGGUGGGGACUCAGUGGAGACCGCCGGGGUCAACUCGGAGGAAGGUGGGGAUGACGUCAAGUCAUCAUGCCCCUUAUGUCCAGGGCUUCACGCAUGCUACAAUGGCUGGUACAAAGAGUGGCGAGCCUGUGAGGGUGAGCGAAUCUCGGAAAGCCGGUCUCAGUUCGGAUUGGGGUCUGCAACUCGACCUCAUGAAGUCGGAGUCGCUAGUAAUCGCAGAUCAGCAACGCUGCGGUGAAUACGUUCCCGGG